rnacentral:rRNA from 1 species
AAACUAACAAGGAUUCCCCUAGUAACGGCGAGUGAAGCGGGAAGAGCUCAAAUUUGAAAUCUAAUGGCCUCAGGUCAUUCGAGUUGUAAUCUAUAGGAACGUUUUCCGUGCCGGCUCAUGUACAAGUCCCUUGGAACAGGGCGUCAUAGAGGGUGAGAAUCCCGUACUUGACAUGAACCACCGGUGCUCUGUGAUACGUCUCCAACGAGUCGAGUUGUUUGGGAAUGCAGCUCAAAAUGGGUGGUAAAUUCCAUCUAAAGCUAAAUAUUGGUGUGAGACCGAUAGCGAACAAGUACCGUGAGGGAAAGAUGAAAAGCACUUUGGAAAGAGAGUUAAAAAGUAUGUGAAAUUGUUGAAAGGGAAACGAUUGAAGUCAGUCAUGUCCUUCAGAUUCAGCUGGUUCUGCCGGUGUAUUUCUGUUGGAUGGGGUCAACAUCAGUUUUGGAUGCCGGAUAAAGGUGGGAGGAAGGUAGUACCCCCGGGUAAACUUAUAGCCUCUCAUUGCAUACGGUGACUGGGACUGAGGAACGCAGCUUGCCUUUAUGGCC